UGCUCCAAUUGAUGUAGAUCUUCC
rnacentral:siRNA from 1 species